rnacentral:rRNA from 1 species
AGAGUUUGAUCCUGGCUCAGGACGAACGCUGGCGGCGUGCUUAACACAUGCAAGUCGAGCGGAAAGGCCCUUUCGGGGGUACUCGAGCGGCGAACGGGUGAGUAACACGUGAGCAACCUGCCCUGGACUUUGGGAUAACCCUCGGAAACGGGGGCUAAUACCGGAUAUUACUGCUGGCCGCAUGGUUGGUGGUGGAAAGUUUUUUCGGUCUGGGAUGGGCUCGCGGCCUAUCAGCUUGUUGGUGGGGUGAUGGCCUACCAAGGCGACGACGGGUAGCCGGCCUGAGAGGGCGACCGGCCACACUGGGACUGAGACACGGCCCAGACUCCUACGGGAGGCAGCAGUGGGGAAUAUUGCACAAUGGGCGGAAGCCUGAUGCAGCGACGCCGCGUGAGGGAUGACGGCCUUCGGGUUGUAAACCUCUUUCAGCAGGGACGAAGCGCAAGUGACGGUACCUGCAGAAGAAGCGCCGGCCAACUACGUGCCAGCAGCCGCGGUAAGACGUAGGGCGCGAGCGUUGUCCGGAUUUAUUGGGCGUAAAGAGCUCGUAGGCGGCUUGUCGCGUCGACUGUGAAAACCCGCGGCUCAACCGCGGGCCUGCAGCCGAUACGGGCAGGCUAGAGUUCGGUAGGGGAGACUGGAAUUCCUGGUGUAGCGGUGAAAUGCGCAGAUAUCAGGAGGAACACCGGUGGCGAAGGCGGGUCUCUGGGCCGAUACUGACGCUGAGGAGCGAAAGCGUGGGGAGCGAACAGGAUUAGAUACCCUAGUAGUCC